AGAUGCAGGUGCAAACGUGGGUGGUCGCAGUUCAGGGGAUAUGCAAAAUGGCAGUUCUAGUAGAAGGGCUUCCCUGGCCGCAGAUGCUAAAGGUAAAGGCAAUAAAGCAAAAGGUAAAGAAAAAGGUGGAAAACCUACACAAGAAACAGAG